UGGUUUAAAAUGAUAGUUGAGCAAACGAGUUCUGAAGGCCACACAAAUUGGAUUGAAAAUGAGUUUUACGUGCAGUACUGCAGUUUAGGAAGCGUUUGCUCAUGGCCGUGCCGAUCAGUUCGCCUUGGUCCCGCUGGGGUUUUUUUUCUAUCAGGAGUUUGGCGUCUAUUUGAUUUUUCCCCUCAUUCCUGGUUGGCUUGUCCCCUUUCCUGUGCACCUGCCUAAUCUCUGCCCAGCCAAGUACAUCACAAAAAUUAAUUGCAUAUUACAACUGAAUAGACAAACUACAACCAAGGGCCGACAAUGUACCGAUCAAGAGGCCUGAAGACUGGGCUCGGGAAACGCGACGUAAAUGAAGAAAGCCCCCAAGUGUCCCAACGCUGCAGAGCCUGUCCCUGGGGGCCAGAGCCCAAAUGAGACCUGAGUUACUGCUGCUGAAGAGGGGGGGUCCAGAUCAUGAACAUCUACACGCGUCACUACACGCAAACAUCGGGAUCAGAAUGGCAGUCAGCAGCCGUGCGGCGAGAAGAACAGCUGACCCUCGCUGCGAUUAACUGAACGAAGCAGCCAGGGGCGUCCAGUCAAGAUGGAGCCAGCCCACCAUGAUUGAUUGCACCGGUUUGGCCUGCGCUGUCCGUGGUGCUGAACCGAUCCUGGUCCGGAGGGUGGUUUCCAGAAGCAUGAGAUCACUCGACGAGGACACAACAUCGAUUUUGCUACCGGUCCUUACAUCACCCAACAUUUGUUGAUGUUGGUUUUGCUUCUUGGUAAACCGUAGCCUCUGGUUGUGCAGCUCUGUGAAAAGAAAGGUGUGGCUUCAGAUAGAGGCAUUCAUGCAACUGAUACGAGAGCAACACCUUCCAGGGAUACCGCCCCCCAAGCCAGUGACCCCUUUACCAGCCAGAUUGCAUUACAGCAUUUGAUCUCGGUUCUGGGGAGAUAUUAUUCUUGCCUGAACUUCUUUACAGAUUUUGAAAGGAAACCAUGUUCUGCUCACAUUUUUACCUGCUGUGUUUUCAGCCUUUUAACUAUGAUUUAAUUAUUAAGGACCCCGCCACCAAAAGCACGCAUCUGGCAUCAUGCUAACAUCUAACGUUUGCUGACAGUUUGUUUUAAUCAUUGUUUGAAUAACAUAACCCAUAUACAUCUUUAAUGAUCUUGGAUUGAAAUGAAAUGUUCUGAGGAAUGAGUUGGGUUAUGUUUUGAAGACCUGCGGUGUGUGCUACGCGUGCAGUAUGAACAUGAAGCUGGCAUGGAUAGCAUGCAGUCAUUAUUUUUCAGGCCUUCAGUUGGUUAUUUUUAGGGAGGCUGAAGUAAAUUGCUGCCAAAUAAUACAUUAAAAGGACUGGGCCAAGCCUGACCUGUAAUGUGCUAGACCACUUUCAUCAGCUGGGCCCUCUCCAGGCAUCGAAUACAGAACCUGCUUACCUCCAGGCAUUCCUGCUUCAGGACAGACCAAAAUUAGGGGGUGGGGAGUUGACACACACACUUUCACUGAGAAGCAGACAAAGGAAUUUAUUUCUUUAUUUUACUUUUGAUGUGCUUUUUUCCACGAUUUCUUGAAAGUGUGUUGUUAUUAAAAUGGCCUAAUUUGACUUUCA